rnacentral:rRNA from 1 species
AUUGAACGCUGGCGGCAUGCUUUACACAUGCAAGUCGGACGGCAGCACAGAGAAGCUUGCUUCUUGGGUGGCGAGUGGCGAACGGGUGAGUAACAUAUCGGAACGUACCGAGCAGUGGGGGAUAACUAAUCGAAAGAUUAGCUAAUACCGCAUAUCUUCUGAGGAAGAAAGCAGGGGACCAUUUGGCCUUGCGCUGUUUGAGCGGCCGAUAUCUGAUUAGCUAGUUGGUGGGGUAAAGGCCUACCAAGGCGACGAUCAGUAGCGGGUCUGAGAGGAUGAUCCGCCACACUGGGACUGAGACACGGCCCAGACUCCUACGGGAGGCAGCCGUGGGGAAUUUUGGGCAAUGGGCGCAAGCCUGAUCCAGCCAUGCCGCGUGUCUGAAGAAGGCCUUCGGGUUGUAAAGGACUUUUGUCAGGGAAGAAAAGGGCGGGGUUAAUACCCCUGUCUGAUGACGGUACCUGAAGAAUAAGCACCGGCUAACUACGUG